rnacentral:rRNA from 1 species
UACGAAGGGUGCAAACGUUGCUCGGAAUUAUUGGGCGUAAAGCGCACGUAGGCGGCAUUGCAAGUCGGAUGUGAAAUCUUAUGGCUUACCAUAAAAGUGCAUCCGAAACUGCAGUGCUUGAGUACUUAAGAGGAUCGCGGAAUUCCCGGUGUAGAGGUGAAAUUCGUAGAUAUCGGGAGGAACACCGGUGGCGAAGGCGGCUUCCUGGACCGACACUGACGCUGAGGCGCGAAAGCCAGGGGAGCAAACGGG